rnacentral:rRNA from 1 species
CUACGGGGACGCUGCAGUGAGGAAUAUUGCACAAUGGGGGGAACCCUGAUGCAGCAACGCCGCGUGGAGGAUGGCGCAUUUCGGUGUGUAAACUCCUUUUAUAUGUCAAGAAAAUGACGGUAGCAUAUGAAUAAGCACCGGCUAACUCCGUGCCAGCAGCCGCGGUAAUACGGAGGGUGCAAGCGUUACUCGGAAUCACUGGGCGUAAAGGACGCGUAGGCGGGUUGGAAAGUCAGGUGUGAAAUCCUACAGCUUAACUGUAGAACUGCACUUGAAACUUCUAAUCUAGAGUAUGGGAGGGGGAGAUGGAAUUAGUGGUGUAGGGGUAAAAUCCGUAGAUAUCACUAGGAAUACCUAAAGCGAAGGCGAUCUCCUGGAACAUUACUGACGCUAAGGCGUGAAAGCGUGGGGAGCAAACAGGAUUAGAUACCCUUGUAGUC